AGAGAGAGUGGACUGCAUGUCUUCAGGAUUCUUGUACCACUGCACCAGGGAGCCCCCUAGACCCCAGGAAAGAGCAAGAUACGCAGAUGAAAGACAACAGUGGGCACAGAGGUGACAGCCGAUGCUGGACACCUGUGGGUAUAACUGAAGGCCUAAGACCUGAGCCAAGAGAAGAUGUGGGAGAUCAACAAGUGCUCUGUCCCUCCCUCUCAUCCAUUGGUGCAUGUACAGUAUACACAGGAGCAGGAUGUGUGACUGCUAAAUCAGAAGUCGCUGUGGCUCUAGCAGUUGUUGAUUGACAGCUACCUCAUACUAGGGAGCAAAAGAAGUUCAAGAACAGCCUCAUCCUCUUCUCUUCAAACAGAAGAUCCAGACCACAGGUCCGGCUCUGACAGCCAUGCAGGAGAUAGCGGCUCUCUCUGGUAAACUGAAGGAUGGUGUGCACCAUCCUUAAUAGCCUGGGCUUCUCCAAGAUCAAACUAUUCCCCUUCAAGAACAACACGGAUGCUGAGGAAGAUACCACACCAGCUUGCCAAUUGGAACAUCUGGAUGGUUGGUCAGUUUGCCACGCUGCGGACGGAGAGCACGGAGAGCACACCACAGGACAUGUUCAAAAAAAACUCCAGAGAGAACUAAAGGAACUGGAUGCAGAUCUGUGAUGAAUUGCGGCACUCCCUUGACCAAACCAGCACUUAAUUUACCCUGGUGAAAAUCAUAUCUCUGGGCCGCGACAAGUUUGCUGACAGGAUAUGCAAGAUCUCUGGAGCUCU